GAGAAGGUUCUAGAAGAUGUUGCGUGGCUGGAGACGAGAGAUUCUCUGUAACGGCACGGGAGGAACACGUCCCGUCACUGAGAGAUUAACGGAUUUCGGUUCGAGGAGAUAAAGAGCAUCGGCUGAUGGGGCUGAAGAUGAUCAAGCUACUUUUCCGUCGCCGCCGUCCGCCGCCCUUCGCCGCCGUUCGUGAUCUCAGCUGCGUUGGCUAAUGAGCCGGACUCGCGUUGGUACCGGUUUGGCUCUGUUCUUGGCCGAGCUGAUUCGAAGGUCGGAAUCCUUUGCAAAGCCAGGAUUUCGUUCGUUGGUUGAAUCGCGAAAGGAUUAAAGCACGCGUUGGGCGCGAUUGGAUUGUUGCCUUGCUCCGAGUGCUGCUGGUUGAUCUUACUUCGAAUCAGGCCGUGAAUUUGAGCCUGAGACAGCGUAAUUUUACUUCACGAUUUGUUGACCACCGAGUGUUUGAUAAUAUGCCUCUUAGUCGUUGACAUUGAAUGGAUUGCGGUUUCGUUCGAACUGAAGAUGCGCAGACGUAGACUCAUUAUUUUCUUGGUGCAUUGAUUUGGUUCGGGUUAUGUUUCAUGAUCAUCAGGAUUGAUUCUGAACGUGUUCUGUUCUGUUCGUCUCUUCUUUGUAUUUGGCAUGUUUCUUUGCUGCGUUCGAUGACAAUGGCCGCUGACGAGAGGAAUCGGGAUUCAAACUGAUGGUCCAAGUAUCCUUCUCUAAGCUCAGAGGAACGGCGCUUGUUUAUCCAAGUAUGUUCCUGUUCCUAUGCUCUGCGUUUGAGUGAUUAUGGCCUUCGUGAGUGACGGUGAUCUGGUAGGGAAUGGAGAGGCCGAUAAUGAAAUUGAAUCGGUUCUGUGGUGAACCGAGACUGUGAUGGAGAUCCGGGGAUGGUUGCCGGCAUCGACAGCAGACGUUGAGGGGAAGGAGGUUUCCGGGAAGGAAGUUGACAUCUCUAGAUCUCAAGGUUUCACUGGCAAUAUAGUUUUGUCGUAUUUAUUGAUGACGCUUCAUUCAGCUUUUUGAAUUAAGGGGAAGAAAUUAUCGACUCUGUAAAAUCUGACAGCAUAUGAGCGGUUUCAAAUAUUGGAAGAGUUCGAUUUGAUGCUCCCUUCCUCCAAGUUCUUUACAACUUGUCAAGUACCAA